rnacentral:rRNA from 1 species
GAUGAACGCUGGCGGCGUGCUUAACACAUGCAAGUCGAACGGAAAGGCCUAAGCUUGCUUGGGUACUCGAGUGGCGAACGGGUGAGUAACACGUGGGUGAUCUGCCCUGCACUUCGGGAUAAGCCUGGGAAACUGGGUCUAAUACCGGAUAGGACGAUGGUUUGGAUGCCAUUGUGGAAAGUUUUUUCGGUGUGGGAUGAGCUCGCGGCCUAUCAGCUUGUUGGUGGGGUAAUGGCCUACCAAGGCGUCGACGGGUAGCCGGCCUGAGAGGGUGUACGGCCACAUUGGGACUGAGAUACGGCCCAGACUCCUACGGGAGGCAGCAGUGGGGAAUAUUGCACAAUGGGCGCAAGCCUGAUGCAGCGACGCCGCGUGGGGGAUGACGGCCUUCGGGUUGUAAACUCCUUUCGCUAGGGACGAAGCGUUUUUGUGACGGUACCUGGAGAAGAAGCACCGGCUAACUACGUG